UGAAUACGAGACGCUACGGCGUCGAAGCAGUCUAUGUCAUACUUCCAAGAAAAGCUCGCAAUGUCAUAAACAAAUAAUGCCUGUACCAUAACCGACACAGGUGGGUAGGUAGAGUAUACUAAGGGGCGCGAGAUAACUCUCUCUAAGGAACUCGGCAAGAUGACUCCGUAACUUCGGGAGAAGGAGUGCCUUAUUUAUAAGGUUGCAAUAACAAGAUCCAAGCAACUGUUUAUCAAAAACACAGGUCUCCGCUAAGUCGUAAGACGAUGUAUGGGGGCUGACGCCUGCCCAGUGCCAGAAGGUUAAAGAAGUUGGUUAGCAUUCGCGAAGCUGAUAACUGAAGCCCUGGUGAACGGCGGCCGUAACAAUAACGGUCCUAAGGUAGCGAAAUUCCUUGUCGGGUAAGUUCCGACCCGCACGAAAGGCGUAAUGAUUUGGAUACUGUCUCGGAGAGGGGCUCGGUGAAAUAGACUUGUCUGUGAAGAUGCGGACUACCUGCACCUGGACAGAAAGACCCUAUGAAGCUUUACUGUAACUUGAAAUUGAAAUUGGACUUUAUUUGCGCAGCAUAGGUGGGAGGCGUUGAGAGUAUUCUUGCGGGAAUAUUGGAGCCAUCAGUGAGAUACCACUCUUGUAAUGUUAGAUUUCUAACUUUGGAUCAUUAUCUGGUCAAAGAACAGUUUCAGGCGGGCAGUUUGACUGGGGCGGUCGCCUCCCAAAUGGUAACGGAGGCGUACAAAGGUUUCCUCUGAACGGGUAGAAAUCGUAUCUAGAGUGUAAAGGCAUAAGGAAGCUUGACUGUGAGACCUACAAGUCGAGCAGGGACGAAAGUCGGUCUUAGUGAUCUGACGGUGCUGAGUGGAAAGGCCGUCACUCAACGGAUAAAAGUUACUCUAGGAUAACAGGCUGAUCUCCCCCAAGAGUUCACAUCGACGGGGAGGUUUGGCACCUCGAUGUCGGCUCAUCGCAUCCUGGGGCGGUAGUACGUCCCAAGGGUUGGGCUGUUCGCCCAUGAAAGCGGUACGCGAGCUGGGUUCAGAACGUCGUGAGACAGUUCGGUCCAUAUCCGGUGUAGGCGUUAGAAUAUUGAGAGGAGCCUUCUUUAGUACGAGAGGACCGAGAAGGACAUACCUCUGGUGUACCAGUUAUCGUGCCAACGGUAAACGCUGGGUAGCUAUGUAUGGAGAGGAUAACCGCUGAAAGCAUCUAAGUGGGAAGCCCACCUCAAGAUAAGUAUUCUCAU
rnacentral:rRNA from 1 species